GCCGCCUUGGCGGAGUGGUAACCCCCGCGACUUUGAUUCGUCAGGUCGUGGGUUCGAGGGCCCCCAUGUUCUGAGGUGAGA